rnacentral:lncRNA from 1 species
AUUAUAAAUAGAGAGGUAUUGUCAUUGUUUUCAUAACUUUAGCAUCAAUUAUUCAAUAAAACUGUUUUAUAAUUCCAUUUGGAAUUAUCUAUCAAAAUCUCUCUUGUAGAGUCAUUUGGAUUAGAGCGUCAUCUAAUCUCGUUUCAUGUUUAAUUAAAAAUCUCAUUGAGUUGUUUGGAUUAGAACGAGAUCUAAGCACGCUUCAAUUAGUGUAUAAAUUAAUCGCGUUGACUUAGUCCUAUCUAGAACGAUACCUAGUGUUUCCUACUAUAUCAAUUUGCUUCUGCUACACCGCUCCAUCAUUUGGUAUAAGAGGACAACACCUUUUCAUAGAGUGACUAGUAAGAUCAAGUAAAAGAUAAAGCAUGGAGAAUUUUGAGUUUCAAGAUUGAUUGAUGAGUAAGGUUGCAAGUUCAAUCUCAAAGAUGCAUUGAUACUCUACUACAAGUUCUAUCCUCCAGAUAACUCGAGGACGAGUUUCCUUUUAAGAGAGGGGGAAUGACUUAGAAUGUUAUUUUAAGAUUCUAGAAUUUUAUUAUUUUGGGAUUUUCUAUUUUAAUUAAAGUCAAUUAUGGUAUGUGUUUAGUAUUUUAUUUCUAUUAUAAUUAUGAUUUAUUUUACCUUUUAAAGUCAACUUAGGAAA